GACCUCGGAUCAGGUAGGGAUACCCGCUGAACUUAAGCAUAUCAAUAAGCGGAGGAAAAGAAACCAACAGGGAUUGCCCCAGUAACGGCGAGUGAAGCGGCAAGAGCUCAAAUUUGAAAGCUGGCUCCUUCGGGGUCCGCAUUGUAAUUUGUAGAGGAUGCUUCGGGAGCGGUCCCCAUCUAAGUGCCCUGGAACGGGACGUCAUAGAGGGUGAGAAUCCCGUAUGGGAUGGGGUGUCCGCGCCCGUGUGAAGCUCCUUCGACGAGUCGAGUUGUUUGGGAAUGCAGCUCUAAAUGGGUGGUAAAUUUCAUCUAAAGCUAAAUAUUGGGCGGGAGACCGAUAGCGCACAAGUAGAGUGAUC
rnacentral:rRNA from 1 species